rnacentral:rRNA from 1 species
GACGUAGGGCGCGAGCGUUGUCCGGAUUUAUUGGGCGUAAAGAGCUCGUAGGCGGUUUGUCGCGUCGUCCGUGAAAACUCACAGCUUAACUGUGAGCUUGCGGUCGAUACGGGCAGGCUAGAGUUCGGUAGGGGAGACUGGAAUUCCUGGUGUAGCGGUGAAAUGCGCAGAUAUCAGGAGGAACACCGGUGGCGAAGGCGGGUCUCUGGGCCGAUACUGACGCUGAGGAGCGAAAGCGUGGUGAGCGAACAGG